UGUGUGUUUCAGGUAGAUCAAUAGAGGCAAUCCAGUUUGUUUCCAUUCAAAUGCCCCACACACCUAUACUUGUAGUUUAUUUUUUUGCAAAUGUCCCACCCACCUGCAAUAAUAGUUUUUUCUUGCAAAUGUCCCACCCACCUAAAGUAGUUUUUUCUUGAAAAUGUUUGACCAACUCGCAGGUUGCCAAACUAAUCACCAAAUUUUGUAAGUAUUUUCUGUUUCAAAUAGGGACCAAAAGCUUGAAUGAUAUUUAUAUUUUACUCGUUGGUUUGGAAUUUUUGCCAGUUAUUUAUUCAGUUGUUAACCACUGCAGGACCAGCGGUACUUGAUCGAGAAGAUGCAUAUUUAGCUCAAGUUGUUUUUGAACAUAUGCAACUAGAUGACAAUGAGGUGGUUCUAGGAGGUGGUCAGGAUGCAAUGAAUGUGACUAUGAUAGACUGUCGUGUUGGUAAAUUUGAGGCUAAAUUCUAUCACAAGGCGAGAGCCAUGACACCCGAGUCUGAGGUCAAGUGCCAUGCCACCGUGUUUUCAGGAUGGUUCACCGAGCGACCAUCACGCUGUUUCCCAUUGGGAUAGACUCUGAUUGUUUCAAGCGAGCAUUGGAGCUCCUAGCAUUGAAAAGGCACAUAAGUGAAUUUAUAGAAUGUUUUGCUGGUCGAAAGGUAUGAAAACACUUGUCCUUUAUUUACUCUAGAACAAACUUAAAAUCCAUUAUUGUAAGAAAUUAGAUAUGAAAAUAAGUUUAUCUAUAUAUUCCUCAUGAUCAUGAGUCCUUUUUAGCAUGUACUAGUUCAUUUUGGGUAUUUUAGAACACAAUCAAUUUUCAUGUGCAAUAGAUAUUUGCCAUAGUCCACAAAUCAAAAACAUGCAUUCUUAAAUCUUAGAUUUCUGUAGCAUGACUGCGUAGUGAUAAUUAUGCCCAUAUCAUAACCAAGGUUCAAACCUUAAAAAACUAUUUAGGAACAGAUCUGUGAGUGACACAGGAGCCAUUUCAAUUCAAUGGUUCAAGUAAUGUUCAUUGCUUGAACAGAUGAAAAAAUGAUUCCAGCAAUUGUAACUACAACCUCUCUUUUGUCAAACACACAAUAACUACAUAUAAUCAUUGAAUCAAUAAUAAAAUAGUUGCAUUCUAUCUGUUAUUACUCUCUUGAUUUUCAACUAUAUGAUGUGUUUUUCCAACAUCAUAUAUGCAAAACAUGAGGGAGUAUCUAAUUUUUUGAAACUGAUAGGUUUACUUUUUUUCUUUACCACAUCAACUUUAACUAUGUGAGGUGUAGAAUUCAAGAUGCAUAUGCCAUUUUUAGACAUACUAUGUGUUAGUUUUGUUUAUGCGACAUGUAUGGUUUAUUUGAACUGUCUAAACCCGCUAGUUUUCCAUAUAGACUACAGAAGAGGGACAAGGCAUCAAUGUUCCUAAAACCGUUAGUUUAGCAUGAUUAUAAUUUGAACUGUCUAAAUCAUCCAUUUUUGGUGUGAUGAACUGUUAUUUGGAAUGGUGCUACAAUAGUUUGUAUAUUUGGUGAUGAACUAUCAAAGGUUUGUUCAUGUUGAAGGACUCGAUGACCUGUCAUUCCUGAAUGAAGGGUUGCUUAAGGAUAGAAGAGGGUUCAAAAUUGUCUAUAGUAUCAUCUUUGGGGGCACAACUAUACAUGUUAGCAUGACGCUGAACAUUUUGGCUGACCUUCCACAUCUUUUCACGUGGGACACAAAAUAGGUGUUUGUUUUUGUGGCAGCAGAGUGUGAGAAUCCACAUGAUUCUUUGAAUCAAGUCUGUGAGAAGCUUGGCCCAAAUUUAUAUGAAUUUCUGUAGAAAACUGACAUAUGUGAAGGAGAAGUCCCUUGGGCUCCUCACUCAGAAUUUUGUCAAGCUCUUCCUCACCAUGGAGGUUAGAGGACUAAAUUCACCCUGUGUGGUUCUGGUUAUUUCUCUUUCACACUUAACUAUAAUGGGGCUUGUAUUUUGUGCGGGUUGAGACAAUCUCACUUUGACGAAGGUGCAAGGCUUCUCCUUGGAGACGGACAUGAAGAGAGCAACAUGAGAAGUUAGUGCAUGCAUUCCUUUUGUUUAGUUCCAUGUUUGUGUCAAAUGCCUUUUCUAUCCAAAUAGAACAUACAAUGGACACACAUACGCAGAUAUAUACUCCAAUCUUUAGAUGUUCGUUGUUAAAACACUAUUUGUUUAAUGAUGUUAUUGUCAAUUAAACUAGGAUCAGUGGUCUUCUCCAUAAAGGUAUAUGUUGACAGA